GAUGAACGCUGGCGGCGUGCCUAAUACAUGCAAGUCGAGCGAACAGACGAGGGGCUUGCUCCACUGAUGUUAGCGGCGGACGGGUGAGUAACACGUGGAUAACCUACCUAAAAGACUGGGAUAACUUCGGGAAACCGGAGCUAAUACCGGAUAACAUGUUGAACCGCAUGGUUCAACAGUGAAAGACGGUCUUGCUGUCACUUAUAGAUGGAUCCGCGCCGCAUUAUCUAGUUGGUAAGGUAACGGCUUACCAAGGCAACGAUGCGUAGCCGACCUGUGAGGGUGAUAGAACACACUGGAACCGAGCAACAGUCCAGACACCUACGGGAGGAAGCAGUAGGGAAUCUACCGGUCUGGGCGACAGCCUGACAGAGCAACCCCGCGCGAGUGAGGAAGGUCUUCGGAUCCUAAGUCUCUGUUUGUAGGGAAGAACAAAUGUGUAAGUAUCUAUGCACGUCUAGACGUUACCUAAUCAGAAAGCCACGCCUACCUACGUG
rnacentral:rRNA from 1 species